rnacentral:rRNA from 1 species
ACGGGUGAGUAAUACAUCGGGACGUGUCCUGUAGUGGGGGAUAGCCCGGCGAAAGCCGGAUUAAUACCGCAUACGCUCUACGGAGGAAAGGGGGGGAUCUUAGGACCUCCCGCUACAGGGGCGGCCGAUGGCAGAUUAGCUAGUUGGUGGGGUAAAGGCCUACCAAGGCGACGAUCUGUAGCUGGUCUGAGAGGACGACCAGCCACACUGGGACUGAGACACGGCCCAGACUCCUACGGGAGGCAGCAGUGGGGAAUUUUGGACAAUGGGGGCAACCCUGAUCCAGCAAUGCCGCGUGUGUGAAGAAGGCCUUCGGGUUGUAAAGCACUUUUGUCCGGAAAGAAAACGCCGUGGUUAAUACCCGUGGCGGAUGACGGUACCGGAAGAAUAAGCACCGGCUAACUACGUGCCAGCAGCCGCGGUAAUACGUAGGGUGCAAGCGUUAAUCGGAAUUACUGGGCGUAAAGCGUGCGCAGGCGGUCCGCUAAGACAGAUGUGAAAUCCCCGGGCUUAACCUGGGAACUGCAUUUGUGACUGGCGGGCUAGAGUAUGGCAGAGGGGGGUAGAAUUCCACGUGUAGCAG